rnacentral:ncRNA from 1 species
CGACCCCAGCUCAAGAAAACACACCCACUGAGUUUAAGCAUAUAAUUAAGCGGAGGAAAAGAAACUUACAAGGUUUCCCCUAGUAACGACGAGUGAACUGGGAAGAUCCCAACAUGGAAAUCGGGUGGAUGUGCUGCCUGAAUUAUAGUCUGUAUAAGCAUCCUUAACGGUGGACUGGGCCCAAGUCCCCUGGAAGGGGGUGCCUGAGAGGAUGACAACCCUUUCGGGUCGGGACCCUACUGCACCACGAGGAAUUGUCAGCAAGUUGGGUUGUUAGGGAAUGCAACCCUAAUCGGGUGGUAAAUUCUGUCCAAGGCUAAAUACAGGCGAGAGACCGAUAGCGAUCAAGUACCAUUAGGGAAAUAUGAAAAGGACUUUGAAAAUAGAGUUAAAGAGUGCUUGAAAUUUUUGACAGGGAAGUAGAUGGAGGUUGACGAUGCGUCUCGGUCGGAUGUAGAACGACUCAAGCUGGUCCAUCGCUCAACUCAAGGUGCGAACCAAAACAGGCCAUUACAUCGACACAAGCGUGGGUGGAGUACUGCCUGUUGGUUUUCCGUU